rnacentral:rRNA from 1 species
ACGCACGCUGGCGGCGUGCUUCACCCAUGCCAGUCGCACGAUGAAGCGGGUGCUUGCACUCGUGGAUUAGUGGCGAACGGGCGAGUAACACGUGAGUAACCUGUCCUUUUCUUUGGGAUAACGGCUGGAAACGGCUGCUAAUACUGGAUAUUCAGGCUGCAUCGCAUGGUGUGGUUUGGAAAGGUUUUUUCUGGGAUUGGGUGGGCUCGCGGCCUAUCAGCUUGUUGGUGGGGUGAUGGCUUACCAAGGCUUUGACGGGUAGCCGGCCUGAGAGGGUGGUCGGUCGCACUGGGACUGAGAUACGGCCCAGACUCCUACGGGAGGCAGCAGUGGGGAAUAUUGCACAAUGGACGAAAGUUUGAUGCAGCGACGCCGCGUGGAGGGUGUAGGCCUUCGGGUUGUGAACUCCUUUUUCUCGCGAAAAAGGCACAGUUUUGGCUGUGUUGAUGGUAGUGGGGGAAGAAGCGCCGGCUAACUACGU